ACAGUGUAGCGCCUGCAUAACUAUAUCAAUACAUUUCUAAACAUUUAUUUAUUCGAUAUUAACCUACAAACACUUUGAACUUGCGGAGAUAUUGUUUUAAAUUUUAUAAUUUAUUUUAUUUGGAUAUUGACGACCAUGGAAUAGCACGAAUAUUGUCUCGACGAAUUCAAGACAUGGGGCUGGUAAGUUAAUUUAAUAACAUGAUAUUUUUACCGCCAAAAAUGAACCUAUUUACUGUUAUAAUAUGCUAGUAAGUAAACAUGUAAAGACAUUUUUGGUUAUAUAGACAUUGAAAUAAGGCUAAUUUAUGAGCGCUUCUUCCUUAAAACAAUCUGCUUAAUUCUACUAAUAUUCAAUUUGGUCACGUUAUCUUAAAAAAAUGAUUCCAGUUUACGUAAACUCUAAAGACGUCGUCAAGUAAACUAAGUUAAGUACUAAGGCUACGUAAUUUAUGAAAUGUUAUGUUUCAUAAAUUUACAAAGAAAUGCAAAUGCUUAAAAAAUUAUUAAGAAAUUAAAUUAAUUCAUCAAAACAAAAUUUAAGUUUUAAAAAAAUGGGACGGUUGUAGAAAGUUUGCCUGCUCUAGUGCGAAACGGAAUGUAUCUUUUCCGAACCAAUGGGUAGCUAGCAAUCUUCCCCCUCCAAUAUUAGCGCUAUUGCAGCGCCUCCAGUGAUCAAAACAAAAACUAUUGUGAAAUAUCUCCAUCUUGUAUGACAGAUUUGUGUUUGUUGUUACUUUUCCGAUUUUAUUUAGUUAAUAUGUUUAUAUUAUACAUGUACAGUGCAUACACAUUAUACAUGUACAGUGUAGCGCCUGCAUAACUAUAUCAAUACAUUUCUAAACAUUUAUUUAUUCGAUAUUAACCUACAAACACUUUGAACUUGCGGAGAUAUUGUUUUAAAUUUUAUAAUUUAUUUAUAAUCGAUAUAAAUAUAAAUUUGUGUCAGUUGAAUACAGUAAAAUAUGGAAGUUACGUAUUCUAGUGAGAAUGAUCCGGGAGUUGCGGAACACGUCGAUGCGGUAAUUAAUCCUGAAACCUGUCCAUCAACAACAACCGGUCAUAAAAAAACUCAAGCAAUUCGACAACGAGAAUACAGACUUCGGAUGAAAGAAAAGUCUGGGCCUAAAAAACAGAAAGAGGACAGACCAGCCAAAAAGUCCGCAGCGGAGCGUCAACGGGAAUGCAGGUUGAGAAAAAAACUCCGAGCGAAUCAAAACAUCAACGCAGAGUCAAACUCAGACGUUACUGAAAUUUUACCGAGGCAAGAUGCAGGACCUUCCAACUACUUGACAUCGUUAAAAAUGUCAGAGAAAUGGAACGAAAUAAAUUCAAAGAAGAACGGCGAGGUGGACCCUCAGUUUUGGAAGGAACUAACAGACCACUAUCUCCGAUAUCCUGUGCUGUAUGUGAAGGGGCUAGGCAAUAUGAAGUUACAACGUCGUCAGGCGUACAUGGCUAUAUCCAAGGAUCUGGGCUUGGACGUUGGACCACGGGAUGUAUUCUGGCUGGUCAGAAGAUACCAAAAUUAUGUCAAAAAUUGUUUGACGACGCUGUAUUCCAAAGCUACGAGAAGUGGCAAGCAGCUGGAGGAUGUUCUGAAAACAGCGCCCGAAUGGCUGUUUAGGGCUGGCACUGAACUGAAGCUUAUCGACGAGUUGAAGCGCAAUCCAUCGGGGGAGAAGAAGACACCGGCGGAGAAGAAGGCAUCGGGGGAGAAGAAGAGCGAGAUGGAGGUGGAGCACGUGGUGGCGACGCUGGUGCGGCGCGCGCGGGGGGCGGGCGCGCUGGGGGGGGGCGCCGUGCUCGCGCCCCUCGGCCAGCUGUCCCCCGCCCUGCUGCAGCUCGUCUGGGGCCGCGUGCAGUCGAUCGUCCUGCAGAAGCUCAAGUACCUGAUAUCGACGGGCGACAACUUGCUGCUGGACUCGUCGCUGGCGCUGUCGCCCGCCGAGUGGGAGCUCCUCGACCUCAUCCUGCUGCAUUCGGACGCGGACGAGCUGCUCGUGUCCGACGAUAGCUUAAAACUGAACGACCAACGUCAGCCGCUGAUAAUGUUGUUCCACCUGGUGCAGCAGUACCACCUGGAGGGCGCCGGCAGCGCGCCCGCCCGCUGGCCCGCCGCGCAGGCCGCCUACCUCCACGGGCACUCGCACGUGUCGCUGGUGCUGCUGCAGCGCCGCUGGUACGAGCUGAAGCGCCACACGCGGCUGCGCUGCCUGCGCGACCCCGCCGCCCUCACGCCGCUGCACGUCGUCAUGCUGCGCCUGUACCCUGAAAUCGUAACGCAGCCGAUGGAAUCCUGGAGAGAGUUCGUGAAAAGCGGGAAAGUCUACCUGCCUGAUGCACACCGCGCGAGUGCGCCCGUCGCGGAUACAGAAGUACCUGCAGAGACCGAAGGAUCGACGAAAGUUCCACAACAGUUCUCAGACAACGAGGACGAUUUAAUAAUAAUUGAGAAAGAGAUAGAGACAGUAGAAGUAGACGAUGAGGACGACGAGCCCCGGCUGGUCAUCGAGGAGGACCGCGCCGCGACGCCGCCGCCCCCCGCCCCGCCCGGGGCGGAGCACCCCACACCGGACAGCUCCACCGGGCCCGGCGGGGCUGCCGAUACAGAUCCUGAACAGUUCAUAGCCCAAAUGAAGGAGCAAAGUAUACAAGUGUACAAACAGAUCUCCUUCGACAUUAGCGAGCAGCUGCAGGACAUGUCGCAGUCCGGGUGUGAGGUCGCCGGUCUCGAGGCGCUGGAGGGUCUGGACCCCGACCGCGUGCAGACCACUGUCAUCUUCGAAAGCGACGACGAAGACGAGGACUCCUCGCCGGACCCCGGCGCGCCCACCCCGGUGGACCCCGGCGCGCCCCACCCGGCGGACCCCGGCGCGCCCCACCCGGCGGACCCCGGCGCGCCCCACCCGGCGGACCCCGGCGGGGACUGCGGUCGCGAUAAUGUGUGUCCAAACAUAUAUCCCGUCAGUCUUGUGCAUGAUGAACCGAGCGACGAGCCGCCUACAAAAAAACCUAAACUGGAUGAAAUUAAUCAAUUUGUCGAAAAUACUGAACUAAAAGAAAAUAUUAAAGACGACCAAAAGAAUAAAAUAGAAAAAUGGAAUGAAUCAAAUGUAAAGAACGAAUCAGAUGAACGAACAGAAAACAAGGAACUGGGAGGAAUCUGCGAACUGCAAGCGAAGGACGAGCUGCUCGAGGGCGGCAGUGCACCGGGCGGCGCUGCCCGCGGGCGCUCCCCCGCCGGGGACGCGCGGGGCCUUGCCUCGCGGAGCAUGGACCGUAAGCUGUUCCUGGCGACGUCGGUGGCGCUGGUCGACCUGGCCGCGACGCAGUUCUGGAGGCGCUGCAGCAGGCGGGGCAGCAUCCGCCUGCGCGACGUGGACCCCGGGGAGCUGGAGCCGCCCGCGCGCCGCCCCCCGGGGUCCGCCCCCCCGGGGGAGACCUUCAGGGGACACGGCGACAGUGUUUUGAAGAGGCAAGCGAGUAGUGCGGCCCAGUCCAUGGCUUGGGAUAAAAACUUAAUAAGUGGACUCCAAGGCGAACAUCUUUCCGACGAGGGAGAGAACUUCGGCGAACUCACUCGAGACGAGAUCCUCAGGAGCAUGCAGCCCGACGAGGACGAUCUGAUGAGGGUCGCCAAGAAGACGAACUUGGACCUUCAAGGCAUAAAGAAUACUGCUGAUGUUUUACAGAUCAGCAGUGACGACGAGGACACGCCGCUGCAGGUCGUCAGGCAAAGGAACCAGCAGCGGGACCUGCGCCGCGUGCUGCCACCGGACGAGCUGGAGGGGAUCCUCAACAGCGUGGCCACGAACAAGGCCCCGACGAAGAACACGUUCUGUUGCCUGGCGCGCCGCCACAAGGUGAUGAACGACGCCCGGCGCCGCGUCGCGCACCGAGCCGGCAAGCAGGCCGGCUUCGUCAACAUGCACGACAAUGAGACCCACCUGCGCGCCUGCGCCUGCUGCUGCCGCCACCUGCUGGAGCGCAGCGAGGCCGACCUGGCACGCGACCUCGAGCACGCGCGCCGCUACCUGCGCGCGCUCGUGCUGCGGGGGGACGCGCGCGCGCCGCGGGGGGACGCGCCGGGGGGGGACGCGCCGGAGGGGGACGCGCCCGCGGAUAAGCCGCUUCUCGUCGAAGAGAACAAAAAACCAAAACCUAGUCGAAAACAAACAGACAAGCCAUUGACAGCGGACGCGCGCGACCCGGCGCUGGACGACGACUACCGCGAGUGGCUGAGACAGAAGACACUCAACACUCGCUACUUCGGGGAACAAAAGGUCAUCGCGAAGAAACAAACGAAGGCACGGUUCGACGGGCAGGUCAACUACAACCACGACCGCAACAACCACAUCAUCGACGUCGCGCGCACCAGAUACAUCGUCACCAGCAGCCGGGACCCGCUCGCGACCCCCCCGGCGCCCCCCACCCGCCACCAGCCCGCCCAGCCCGCCGUCCCACUCGAUUCCGUUCUUAAAGUUUCUGCAAACGAAUCACACGACACCGCGGAGCCGACGACGCUGAUCAUUGAGGUCCCGCCGCUAGAGAGGUGCAAAUCUGAACCCGCAGAACCGAGCGACUCCACGGAGCUUGGCGGCGGCAUCGCGGACGGCGCCGGCGACCUCCUCGUCGAAGUGCGCAAGCCCCUCGACGUGGCAGAGCGGCCGGGGGAGGGCGCGGGGGGUGUACCGGGGGGUGUGCCCGGGGGUGUGCCGGGGGGUGUGCCCGGGGGUGUGCCGGGGAGUGUGCCCGGGGGUGUGGCGGGGAGUGUGCCCGGGGCCGGGUGGGCGCCCGCCGCGCUGCGCGUGUACAAGGCCGUCAGCAGCGGCCCCUCCCUCGGGCCCGGCAGCGCGUCGCUCCUGAGGAACCUCGCGGCGGUCGGUGGCCCCGGUGCGGCCGGUCCUCGCCCCGUCGCCCUCAUACAGUACAAAGGAGGAAUCAAAAAAGUAAAGCAUUUACCGACCGAUGGAAGAAUCGUCCCGGUCAGGGUGAUCAGCGGCGGGCACGGGGUGCGGGGGCCCGUCGUGCGGCGCGUCCUCUCUACCAACCUCCUCCCUUCAUCCAGCCUCCUCCAGGCGACUGUCGACUGUGUUGCUCCUGAUCCCAAGGAAUUCGUCCCGAAAAUCGUAUCGUGCAACAGUCUGGCGGCGCCCGCGGACAGCAGCGGUGCGGGGGCCGUCUUCGUGCCCGUCGCCGCGCCGCACGACGGCUUGUCGCGGACCCCCUCCCGCACGUUCUGCGUGGUGUCCCCGCCCACCCGCGCCCUCCCCGCGCGCGCCUUCCUGGCGGGCCGGGACCCCACCUCGCUGCACGUCAUGUGCGCGGAGAGCGACCAGCCGCUGCUGCUGCUGGCCAGGGGGUACGUGAUGCUGUCCGCCGACCCCAUCGACCGGGUCAGUAUGUGUGUCCGUCAUAAUCGCCUUGUCGUUGCCGCCGCUGACUACUCCCCGACUCCUGAUCACGCAGGAGUUAGUGACCGCCGACGCCCUAGACACGUCCUUACGGAUCCAUCAGAUACAAUAACCUUUGCAUUAGACACCUUCAGCUCUAACACUAGGAGCAGGCUUAGGGACCCCGGUAACCGUACUCGUCCAACCUGUCGUGGUGUGCAACCUCUUUGACAGGACAUAAAACCUAUAAUGACUAGACAUAGAUAAACUAAGACAGAUAUUUGAAAAUAAUUCGAAAAGCAAUGGGACGAGGGCGCACGUGACCGGCGGCACGGCAGUACAUUUUUUGACUUCUGAAAAGACAGACAUACAAAAAGACGAAAAACACGAAUAAUAAUUGACCGUUCUUAUAUAAAAGGUUCAAGUGACCUUCGACCGUUCACAACCUAACUUAAAAAAAUCAGCCCACUGAGUUUCUCUACGGAUCUUCUCGGCGGGUCGGGAUUCCGAUCCGAUAGAAGAUUCAUUCGCGAAGCAGCUGUCCGUAAGUUGUUAGGUCUCAUCCGCAGGCGCUCGAACAACUGUUAUUAACAAAUCCCUUCCAUCAUCACUGAACCCUUGCUCGCCCACCUCCAGUCCUGAUGAAACUGGAAACUCCUCCGGGCCACCAAUAAUCCAUCAUAUUAAAAAAAUCGUAUAACGAAUGCCGCGCGGUCGCCGGCCGGGACCCCCGCCGCGCCCGCAGUCGGCUGGCGGUCAGCAGCCGCGGAGUCAGCUCAGCGCCCGCAGCACGCUCGGGUUAUAGCGACUACAACUAGACCCGCGGCCUCGCUGCAAUGCACGACUAAUUAUCGCUCAUACAAUGCACAUUGCUUAUGAAAAAUCCCGCGUAUUACACGAUAAGUAGCCUGAAAGAAUGGUCUCGCCUGGAGCUGAACUCGGGGCCGGCGGAGAGCGCAGUGCUGUCCGCGCACCUGUUCGGGGCCUCCGACCGCGUCAG